rnacentral:lncRNA from 1 species
UAUACGUGUGAGACAUAGAUUGAUCUGCAUUUAGAACAAAAGAAGGAAAAAAAAAGAACACAUAAAGACAUAUCAAUACAGGUCCUCAAUCCAUUACCGAAAUACUUGGAGCUAGGUGUUCUUGGAAUCCACCAUUUGUCAGAUUUUGGAAAGACAGUACGGGGCAUAUGCUAAUUAUUUCAUAAUCAUCUAGGGGCUUGGGGCAGCACCCACAAAACCCUCUCAUAGACCCAGGUCGGGCUUUGUCAUCUGAAGGAGAUGAAUCAGGUGCUGCUUGUCAAAUGAGGUAUGAAAAAGUACCUUUUAUUUUCACAGCCUUUUUUCUGGAUCUUGGAUGAGAGAUUGUGGCACAGUAAUUCUGUGGUGACUCCAAUCUAGGUGUUAUCAAUCAUUAAUUAAGACUUUGGGUCUUCUCUGAUAAAACCUCUACCUCCCAUAGACUAGUCUCUCUCGGACAGAACUUCUUUCUCCUAGGAAGGAGUUGAAAAGCACCUGAGAGCCUCACAAAAUUAGGACUCCAGGUGCUUUGCUUCCUUUUUCUUUUCUUUUUUUUUUUUUUUUUUUUUGUAGCGAUAGAGACAGCACAAGCUGGGGAGGGGCAGAGAGAGGGAGACACAGAAUCCGAAGCAGGCUCCAGGCUCUGAGCUGUCAGCACAGAGCCCGACGCGGGGCUCGAACUCACAAACCGCAAGAUCAUGACCGACUGAGCCACCCAGGUGCCCCAAGCCUUGCUUCCUUCUUUUGGCCACACGCCUUUCUGGACCAUGGCACAGGGUUGCGAUAGCCAGGAAGCCGAAAGAAGCCGCUCCUCCCUUCUGCAGCCCCCACCCUCAAGACCUCGCUCUCCUCAGACUGCAAGUCUGUUCACACUUUGCACGCCACUGGCCGCGAUCCUCUGUGGCGGCAGUGUUUACAACUGGGUGCAGAGACGUUGUUUACAGGGCUCUUGCCUUUUUCCUUCUGAAUUUUUUAAAACCUAUUUUGGAAAGAACAGAUCAAGUGUUGGCGCCUUAGCGACGGAGCAGCUAUAA